GAGCUCUGUGAUGCAGAUAGGAGACACACACACAUUACUACUGUAGAUACACCGGAGAGCUCUGUGAUGCAGGUAGGAGACACACACACAUUACUACUGUAGAUACACCGGAGAGCUCUGUGAUGCAGGUAGGAGACACACACACAUUACUACUGUAGAUACACCGGAGAGCUCUGUGAUGCAGGUAGGAGACACACACACAUUACUACUGUAGAUACACCGGAGAGCUCUGUGAUGCAGAUAGGAGACACACACACAUUACUACUGUAGAUACACCGGAGAGCUCUGUGAUGCAGGUAGGAGACACACACACAUUACUACUGUAGAUACACCGGAGAGCUCUGUGAUGCAGAUAGGAGACACACACACAUUACUACUGUAGAUACACCGGAGAGCUCUGUGAUGCAGGUAGGAGACACACACACAUUACUACUGUAGAUACACCGGAGAGCUCUGUGAUGCAGGUAGGAGACACACACACAUUACUACUGUAGAUACACCGGAGAGCUCUGUGAUGCAGGUAGGAGACACACACACAUUACUACUGUAGAUACACCGGAGAGCUCUGUAAUGCAGAUAGGAGACACACACACAUUACUACUGUAGAUACACCGGAGAGCUCUGUGAUGCAGGUAGGAGACACACACACAUUACUACUGUAGAUACACCGGAGAGCUCUGUAAUGCAGAUAGGAGACACACACACAUUACUACUGUGGAUACACAGAGGAGCUCUGUGAUGCAGAUAGGAGAUAGAAUGUGGACUGUCUGGCAUCCUAGUUUACUUAGUUUGUCUCUGUUGUUGCUUGUCU